CCCACCAAUCAGCCAUCUGUGGUUUGAGACUCACAAGCUUAGGAGAGACUCGGGAGGCAUCAGUUCCGCAUCCCGCACUCCCACGUGAAUUUGCCCCCGCCCUGAGUCAGAACCCUAGAGGGGUGAAAUCCCUGAAUUCUGCAGAGGAAACCCAUACUUCUUUGCUUUUUCAGCAAUUCCAGGAGAUGUCGUUUUUCAAGUGGCAAAUGUGUGGCUCUAGAGGACAGAGUAACCACCUUGCAGCCAAGAAGCCCUGAUGUCAACUCCCAGCUCUGCUGCAGCACCCAGAAAUCACCGGACCUUUCUGCAUCUUUCUGGGUGACUCUGUCAUGAGGAUUUCAUAAUGUAAUUCCCUAGCACAUAAGAAUUUCUCAACCAAUAUGGCUUUCUUUUUUCCUUCUCACUAGUCUUUGAGCUUCUUAAAGGGAAGACAUGUCCUAUUCAUCUCUACACCCCCCACACCAGUCUGCAUUCAGUAAGUGCUCAAUCAAUGUCUGCUGAAUCACAUCUUCCCACUCAACUGCAUGGCCUCGGAUGAUCCAAUUCUGUGGGACUCAGGGUCUCCCUGAUUCUGAAGAUCUCCAUUUCAGCCACCCCAUCCUGGUGCUUUUUCUGGAGAGACUGGGAAAAAGGAGACAGAAGAAUCCACUCUAGCUGAGACUCCAGAUUGCCUGGGCUGUAAUUUACGGUGCUAUCACAAAGGGGUCCUUUUUCCGCAUGGUGCUCUGCGGUGAUGAGCCAGAAGCUGAAGCUGAGGGGUCUUAUUGGCUGUGCAAACUUGAGGGAGUUGCCUAACCACUCUGGGCCCUGUUUUCCUGGCUUUGCCACUCUUCAGCUGUGUGACCCGGGGAAGCUCUCAACCUCUUUGUGCCUCCAUUUCCACAUCUGUAAAAUGGGGAUAUGAAAGUGGCUGCUUUGUGAAGAGUCCUGAGAAUAAAUGAGUUAAGGAAAACUGAUAUGGAUAAAUAUGGAAGAGAGCUGGCCAGUGGAUGAAAUGGUGAUGUAAAGGUUAAGAGAAAUAAAAGCAGGAGACGAGGAGAGAGUCACACCACGGUGAGCAGAGAGUUGAGCUGGGGCCCGGGACAAGCAUCAAAAGUGUCACUUCCUCUGAGGUCCCAACCCUACUUCCAUAGGCUCUGCAGCCCACACCACCUUGGAACCAAACAGGGAGGUGGCAGAACUGAUGGGCUGGCCGCACCACCUUAAAUCUCUUAGCUCCAAAACUGGAGGUGCUCAUCAGGACCCUGCAUCAUUUCUGUGGGUGAUGGAUGGUGUGAGGUAAGGCACAGAGAUCUAGACUUAUUUCUCCUUCCACAACAAUUGUUUCUUGGAAGAGGAAGAAAACUUAGCUGGAUUUUAUCUCUUUGUGUGGAUUUCUGGGGUAGACACCCAGAGGUGUGUGCAGGAGCAUGCUCUUUGGGGCCCACAUAGAGAUUCCAGCAGGUGCUGGAGAUUCUGGGGUAGCCUUUCCAUGACUGCUGGCCUCUUUUCCCCUGUGUUGCUUUGGUUUGCUGUCUGGCUAAAGGCAGGAGUGGGAGAAACUCACAUUCCACAAGAGGCUGCCUGGAGCAGAGGCCAAGAGGGUAAGGUUUGUCCAAGGCCUUCCAUCUCAGCUUUGCUGCCAAUUUGUCAGAAAAAAAAUCAUUUGUGCCAAUUAGACCCUGGUUAGGAAAGUGUUGUCCUGUCUGGGAAGCAGGUACAGAAACCAGUUGCAAGGACAGGAGAUCAAUGAAAGUGACACAUUACUUAUGCCUCCAAUUCUUCUCAGCCCUCAAUUUAGUCUCUGAGACACAGAGAAAAUAAGUGUACUUGCCUUGCUAAUGGGUACAUGGUUGGCUUUGGGCAAUUUAUAUAGAGCACUUUAGUUCCAAGAUGAAAUGCACUGAGAUAUUAGGAUUAGUCUCUGCUUUAAUGAGUUUCUGACUUGCAGGUUUGAAAAAAUUUAGUUCUUUUCUGUAUUUCUCUACAAACACAAAACAAUGAUUUAAUGGUAAAACAACAAUGAAAAGAAACUAGGCCAUUCUCUCCAAAAUGAUUAAAAGGGUACUUCUCCUGACCUGACAUAACCUUUCCUCAUAUGAAUUUAUUAUCUGUAUUCACACUCAUAUUCCACUGGAAUGCCUUGGGUCCAGGUGGAUGGUUGCUUAUGGUUAGUAUCGAUUCUGAGCAGGUAGGCAUUCAUACUGUUUGGUUGACGCCUGUGGUGAACAGACCUUAAGGUGACUUCUUGCACCCCUGAGUCAUUUUCUUGUAUAAUCUCCUCUCUUUGAGGACACAAACUGUGCCCUGCUUCAAACCAGUGGAAUAGAGACAAGGUGAUGAGAUCUUUGGUUAUUGCACCUAACUGCUUCAUUCAUUGCACAAUUAGUCACACGCUGUUUUGUGAUGCAGAACAUUUUUUUUUAAGAGAUGGUAGUCUCACUCUGACACCCAGGUUGGAGUGCAGUGACA
rnacentral:lncRNA from 1 species